GACGAACCGUGCGAACGUUGUUCGGAAUCACUGGGCUUAAAGGGCGCGUAGGCGGCCCAUCAAGUCCGGGGUGAAAGCCUCCAGCUCAACUGGAGAAGUGCCUUGGAUACUGGUGGGCUCGAGCGAGGUAGGGGCAGCUGGAACUUCCGGUGGAGCGGUGAAAUGCGUUGAUAUCGGAAGGAACGCCUGUGGCGAAAGCGAGCUGCUGGACCUCUCCUGACGCUGAGGCGCGAAAGCUAGGGUAGCGAACGGG
rnacentral:rRNA from 1 species